rnacentral:rRNA from 1 species
AACAAACGCUGGCGGCGUGCCUAAUACAUGCAAGUCGAACGGGGAAAGCUUUCGGGUGAGUACUAGUGGCGCACGGGUGAGUAACGCGUGGAUAAUCUGCCUUAGAGUGGGGGAUAACUAGUCGAAAGAUUAGCUAAUACCGCAUAAGACCACAAGAACUGCGGUUCAAGGGGUCAAAGGUUUUUCGCUCUAAGAUGAGUCCGCGUAAGAUUAGCUAGUUGGUAGGGUAACGGCCUACCAAGGCGACGAUCUUUAACUGGUCUGAGAGGAUGAUCAGUCAAACUGGAACCGAGACACGGUCCAGACUCCUACGGGAGGCAGCAGUAGGGAAUAUUGCACAAUGGAGGAAACUCUGAUGCAGCGACGCCGCGUGAGUGAUGAAGGCCUUCGGGUCGUAAAGCUCUGUCGCAGGGGAAUAACACAAUGAAGGUACCCUGUAAGAAAGGAUCGGCUAACUUCGUGCCAGCCGCCGCUGUAACAC